GCUGGGAAGCAGCCAGCUGGGCAGGAGCUUUGCUGGGUUAAUGUGUUAAGUCUAUAGGCCCUGACAUGUGGCUGACUGUGGACUUCAGCUAAUGUCUGUGCAACCUUGACUGAGACCUGACCAGCCUGGCAGAUGUGAGCCUCUGCUGGGCCAUUCUUCUGAGUGGAAGAUAGACGACAAAGGAGAGGAGCAGGAAGGAAAUGAUACAAAAGGAUCUUUGUACAGUUUUCUCUUACUUGUGGGAAAUUGAAAAUACAACAGUUAUUUCACCAUGAAUCAAAAUAAAAUUUGAAUUUGUACAGUA